UACGGAGGGGGGCGAGCGUUAUUCGGAAUUAUUGGGCGUAAAGGGCGCGUAGGCGGCUUGGCAAGUCAAAGGUGAAAUCCCUCGGCUCAACUGAGGAACUGCCUUUGAAACUGCCUGGCUUGAGGCCGGGAGGGGGUAGCGGAAUUCCCAGUGUAGCGGUGAAAUGCGUAGAUAUCUGGAGGAAUACCGGUGGCGAAGGCGGCAUCCUGGACCGGCAUUGACGCUGAGGAGCGAAAGCCAGGGGAGCAAAGCGGG
rnacentral:rRNA from 1 species